GACUGCAGCCUCGCGCCGCCGGAGCCACGGGAGCCGCCGCGGGUCGCCGCCUCCCCAGCCGCGGGUCGCCGCCUCCGGAGCCGCAGCUUGGCCUCCGCCGCGGCGCCACUCCGCCUCCGUGGCAAGUAAGUUUCUAUUGCUGAACUCAUCUGUACUCAGAGACCAAGCAAUUAGCCGUCGUUAGUCGCCGGAGCCGCCCGCCGCGUCCUUCGCCGCAGGAGCCUCCGCCGGAGCCGCCCGCCGCACCCUUCGCCGCCGGAGCCGCCCGACGGGACCGGUCACCUCCUUCGCUGCCGCCAGGAAUCCCAUCACCGGCAAGGUAACUACACCCGUUCCUCCCGUCUUGCUUGCUGCGAAUGUGUGCUGUGUUGGUGGUUGAUGCUGCGUGCUUGCCAGCUUGUCACUGUGUGCUUGUCGCUGAUGGUCUGUUGUUGCUGCUGCUUUCAUGUAUAUGAUUUUUUUAGUCUGACUGUUAGACUAUGAUCCAUGCUCUUAAGGGAAGGGAUUAUUAUGUUGCUGAACUGGGAGUCCUCUGCCGCCAAGAAGGUUUGUGUUGGGGCUGAUGUUCCCCUUAGUGUCCGGGCAUUUCAAGCCCCUUACAUUGUUUCAAUUUUGGUGAGAAGCGAUUUACCUGUGCACGAGUUUCAGUGAAAUAUUUUUUUCCGUUCAAAAAAAAAACUUGCUGCAUUAAUUUGUUUUAUCUGCCGAGCAGGUGAUGGCGCACGGGGACGAGCUUCCUGGACAAGAAGAUCUAUGUAUUCUUCUCGAUGGUGCAAAGUUGAGGUGUUCUCAAAUCUCAGUGACCUAUUUUAUUUUACUAUUGACACUUGAAUGCUCUGUUCUUUCUGAUUAGUUUUUUUUCUUUAUUCUUAUGUUCUUUACUUCCGAUUUCAACUUUCCAAGGAUUUAUUAGUUAAUAAAAGUUCAAGGAUUGUUGGAGAACAUGGAGCCUUGGGUAGCUGAAGUAGAUCCUUCCUUAAGCGCCAAAUCCCUUCUAGUUCAUACGAAAAUCAUGAAGCAAAACAGUAGAAGAAUAUAAAAUAGGGAUGUCUAAAAAAAUGGUAGUCAAAUGUUUAAGGCAUGAAGACUGCAGCAAUGCGAUGGCUAUGCUGAUUAAGUCUAAUUAGUGGACUGGCCAUCACGAAGUCAUGUUUAACUAUCAAUAUGUGAACACAACAUGUGAUUAUGUGGAGUUUGUGAGGAAAAAUGAUAAGUUAAGAAGCUAGUUGGGUGAUUGUCCACUGGCGUUUUUCGGAUAAGAAUUGUCCACUGACGUUGGCCUGGUAUGUAAACUGUCUGCAUCUUUUACUGAGAGAUCACUAAUGUAUACAUUUUAUGCAUUGAAUAUCACUGGGCAUCAUCUUCUGACUGAUAUGGACAAUCUCUUGCAUUAUCUUGAGGUGGCUGGCCAUAUAUGGACUUAGCCUAGAAGCUGGACCUAGAGGCUUCCAUAAUCCCAGAGAGGUAAUUACCCCCGUCUCAACUAUAUUUGUUUUAGUUGGGAGUUGUGUGCUUGCAUCUCCCCCGGAAAAUCGCCGCCGCCAGCCCACAGCUCUCCACUCCUCAACUACUGACCCAUGGGCGCUAUCGAAGGGGAGCCAAACAUUGCCCUGGAUUUUCUUUUUAAUUAUACCAUAUUGUUUAAAUUUUGUAGUUGUCAUUUGUGCAUGAAUUGGUUACAUGUAUGCAAAGCUAACAAAAUAAGAAUAAGAUGAAUUACAUGUCUGCAAAACUAACCAAAUAUGAAUGAGAUGAAUUUCCUCUUUGCAGAAUCCACAUAGUACAUAUUAUAUGCAAAAGUAAUAUGUUUAUAGAGGACAUUUUUUCUCUCUCAGGGUUAUACGUGCGUUGCACGUCCACACCCACAUCUCGACGGGUAGAAAAUUAGCGCAAGGAUCAAAUCCCCCGACCUGUUUUUCUUUCUUUCGGUCUUUGUCCUGAACUGAAUCCUAUCUUGUUCGCUGCAACAACAAGAUCUAGCUACCGGUGGGGAUAUAGAGGACACCAGGAUGGACAACACGUUGCCAUCGAGUUUGCCGAGCUCGCCAGGACAGACCAUGACUUGGUGACCUCCGCCGACGAGGUUACCGUCUAUCUCCAGAGCCCCAUUGAUGUCAUGACCCUUGCCACCUCCACCGCCACCACCAUAGGAGCGGUGUCACCCUUCGAGCAGAGCUAAAAAGAGUGAUGCUAUUCCUUGGUCAGGUUAUGUUGCAGAUUAUUAUUUUGAG